rnacentral:rRNA from 1 species
GCGGUGCCUUCCGAGUUCCCUGGAACGGGACGCCAUAGAGGGUGAGAGCCCCGUCUGGUUGGAUGCCAAAUCUCUGUAAAGUUCCUUCGACGAGUCGAGUAGUUUGGGAUGCUGCUCUAAUGGGAGGUAUAUGUCUUCUAAGCUAAUACCGGCCGAGACCGUAGCGCACAGUAGAGUGAUCGAAAGAUGAAAGCACUUGAAAAGAGAGUAAAGUACGUGAAUUGUUGAAAGGGAAGCGUUUAUGACCAGACUUGGGCUUGGUUAAUCAUCUGGGGUUCUCCCCAGUGCACUUUUCCAGUCCAGGCCAGCAUCAGUUUUCGCCGGGG